UACGUAGGGUGCGAGCGUUAAUCGGAAUUACUGGGCGUAAAGCGUGCGCAGGCGGUUCGUUGUGUCCGAUGUGAAAGCCCCGAGCUCAACUUGGGAAUGGCAUUGGAAACUGGCGAGCUGGAGUGUGGCAGAGGGGGGUGGAAUUCCACGUGUAGCAGUGAAAUGUGUAGAGAUGUGGAGGAACACCGAUGGCGAAGGCAGCCCCCUGGGCCAACACUGACGCUCAGGCACGAAAGCGUGGGGAGCAAACAGG
rnacentral:rRNA from 1 species